rnacentral:rRNA from 1 species
UACGUAGGGUGCAAGCGUUGUCCGGAAUUAUUGGGCGUAAAGAGCUCGUAGGCGGUCUGUCGCGUCGGAUGUGAAAACCCAGGGCUCAACCCUGGGCCUGCAUUCGAUACGGGCAGACUAGAGUUCGGUAGGGGAGACUGGAAUUCCUGGUGUAGCGGUGAAAUGCGCAGAUAUCAGGAGGAACACCGGUGGCGAAGGCGGGUCUCUGGGCCUUACCUGACGCUGAGGAGCGAAAGCGUGGGGAGCGAACAGG